GCUGAAUCAGGAAGACAGGAAUAUGUGGGGCAUAUAGCUGCUCUUAUACCAACUCCACUGUCUCAAUGGACUCCAAUUUAUACAGCUCAAGAAGAGGAAUGGUUAAGGACUGAACCUGGAAAGUAUUUGGAGAACAAAUGGUAUCAGUUAGAAGAUGGAAGAAUAGUUAUUCCAGCAUCACUAGCGGUAGAAAUUGUCCAAAACUAUCAUAGCGGGACACAUUCUGGGAGAGACAGUACAGAAGAAUCUCUCAGAAAACAUUUCUACAUACCAAGAUUGUCCAACUUGACUCAGGCCAUUGUACGUAGAUGUGUAACGUGUGCUAAAAAUAAUGCAAGACAGGGACCAGUAAAGCCACCAGGAGUCCAGUUUAUGGGGGGACUUCCCAUGUCCGAUUUACAAAUUGACUAUACAGUGAUGCCUAAAUCGGG